rnacentral:rRNA from 1 species
GAGUUUGAUCAUGGCUCAGGACGAACGCGGCGGCGUGCCUAAUACAUGCAAGUCGAACGAACGGAGAAAGAAGCUUGCUUUUUUCAAAGUUAGUGGCGAACGGGUGAGUAACACGUGGGUAACCUGCCCAUCAGAGGGGGAUAACAUUCGGAAACGGAUGCUAAAACCGCAUAGGUUCCUUAGUUGCAUGACUGAGGAAGGAAAAGAGGCGUAAGCUUCUGCUGGUGGAUGGACCCGCGGUGCAUUAGCUAGUUGGUGAGGUAACGGCUCACCAAGGCGAUGAUGCAUAGCCGACCUGAGAGGGUGAUCGGCCACAUUGGGACUGAGACACGGCCCAAACUCCUACGGGAGGCAGCAGUAGGGAAUCUUCCGCAAUGGACGCAAGUCUGACGGAGCAACGCCGCGUGAGUGAAGAAGGUUUUCGGAUCGUAAAACUCUGUUGUUAGAGAAGAAUAAGCAUAAUAGUAACUGAUUAUGCCGUGACG